GACGGAUGGGCUCGCGGAAGUGGCGGAUGACAGCCAAGGUGUCCCGGUUGGUGAGCCCGCUGACAGGCGUCCCGUUCACCUCCAACAGCACAUCCCCAGGGCUGGGCGCCUUGCCCGAGACGAUGCAGCAGGUGCCCCCGCCGGGCUCCUCGCGGAGCCGCCCCAGGUACAUUUACCUGCAAAUGACCAAAUGAAUCCAGCCCAAAUUCACAGAACAGGAAUGUUAAAAAUCAACUGCAGUGCCAACAUGUUUUAAAAAGAGAACCUAGUUAACAGUCAGAUGUCAAGUUUGUCUCACAAAGAAGAACAAAGAGAGCAUUGAAUGAAAGAGAAAAUACCAAAGGGCCCAUCUGGCACAUCUUUCAUUUUUCAGCUUAGCUACCACCUCCUACCCAAGGCUGGCCUUGAUUUCUACAGAAAAUGGAGAUUCAAAAGAAAAUAUACAGCCAACAGAUGUAUGAAAAAUGACAAACAUCUCUAAUAAUCGGGGAAAUGCAAAUUAAAACCACAAGGAGAGACACCACCUCACACCUGUCAGAAUGACUAUUACCAAAACAGAUAAAAGAUAUCAAGUGUUGACAAGAACGAAAAGGGAACCCUUGACACUGCCAAUGGGAAUGUAAGUUAAUACAAUCAUUGUGGGAAGCAGUAUGGAUGUUCCUCCAAAACCUAAAAAACAGAACUAAUAUACAAUCCAGCAGUUCUACUUCUGAGCUCUACUCAAAGGAUUUGAAUCUAAUAUGGGGGUGAACAUCAACCUAAGUGUCCAUCAACAGAUAAAUAGAUAAAAAAAAAUACAGUAUAUGUAAAUACAAUGAGGAACUACCCAGCCUUAAAAGAGAUUUAAAGGCUGCCAUUUGUGAGAGAAGGAAGGAACUCCCAGGCUGUGAGGAAAAUACAUUUCUAUCUUAUAACCCACCCAGUCUAUGGUAUUUUGUUAUAGUAGCCUGAAUUAAGACACAAAGUCUCUCCGUUGUCUCCCCAUUUCACUCAGAGAGUAAAAGCUCUUAUUCCU